CCUACGGGAGGCAGCAGUGAGGAAUAUUGGUCAAUGGGCGCGAGCCUGAACCAGCCAAGUAGCGUGAAGGAUGACUGCCCUACGGGUUGUAAACUUCUUUUAUAAAGGAAUAAAGUGAGGCACUUGUGCCUUUUUGUAUGUACUUUAUGAAUGAGGAUCGGCUAACUCCGUGCCAGCAGCCGCGGUAAUACGGAGGAGCCGAGCGUUAUCCGGAUUUAUUGGGUUUAAAGGGAGCGUAGAUGGGGUGGUAAGUCAGUUGUGAAAGUUUGCGGCUCAACCGUAAAAUUGCAAUUGAUACUGGCAGCCUUGAGUACAGUUGAGGUAGGCGGAAUUCGUGGUGUAGCGGUGAAAUGCGUAGAUAUCACGAAGAACUCCGAUUGCGAAGGCAGCCUACUAAACUGUCACUGACAUUGAUGCUCGAAAGUGUGGGGAGCAAACAGGAUUAGAUACCCCUGUAGUC
rnacentral:rRNA from 1 species